GAUGAAGAACGUAGCGAAAUGCGAUAAGUAAUGUGAAUUGCAGAAUUCAGUGAAUCAUCGAAUCUUUGAACGCACAUUGCGCCCGCCAGUAUUCUGGCGGGCAUGCCUGUCUGAGCGUCAUUUCAACCCUCAUGCCCCUAGGGCGUGGUGUUGGGGAUCGGCCAAAGCCCGCGAGGGACGGCCGGCCCCUAAAUCUAGUGGCGGACCCGUCGUGGCCUCCUCUGCGAAGUAGUGAUAUUCCGCAUCGGAGAGCGAUGAACCCCUGCCGUUAAACCCCCAACUUUCCAAGGUUGACCUCAGAUCAGGUAGGAAUACCCGCUGAACUUAAGCAUAUCAAUAAGCGGAGGA
rnacentral:misc_RNA from 1 species